GAUCUCAUUUGCAUAUUAUUUUAGAAACCACGUCGGAAUAUUAUCCGGACCAGAAGCUUUAUUAACCUGUAGGGAUAUUAAUUGCUUAUAUACACCAGCCACUGAUAUCUCCAGAGAACCAAUACUUGGUUUUGGAUCGUUAUCUACACUAGGGAUAUUAAUAAGGUGUUCUUCUGGGAAUAUAGAAAAAAAAUGAUUGUUUAAAAUUUCAGUAUUGGGCCUUCUUUUUCUUUUGGGGGGAGGAGAAAAGAAGAACAAUGAGUCCUGUGCUCCUGUGAAGUUGUGUGAACAAUAGAGAGGCUCAGAUAACCCUACUCCAAGUUUCUAAA